UCCUACGGGAGGCAGCAGUGGGGAAUAUUGCACAAUGGGGGAAACCCUGAUGCAGCCAUGCCGCGUGUGUGAAGAAGGCCUUCGGGUUGUAAAGCACUUUCAGUAGGGAGGAAGGUAGUGUAGUUAACACCUGCAUUAUUUGACGUUACCUACAGAAGAAGCACCGGCUAACUCCGUGCCAGCAGCCGCGGUAAUACGGAGGGUGCGAGCGUUAAUCGGAAUUACUGGGCGUAAAGCGCAUGCAGGCGGCCUGUUAAGUCAGAUGUGAAAGCCCGGGGCUUAACCUCGGAAUUGCAUUUGAAACUGGCAGGCUAGAGUCUUGUAGAGGGGGGUAGAAUUUCAGGUGUAGCGGUGAAAUGCGUAGAGAUCUGAAGGAAUACCAGUGGUGAAGGCGACUUUCUGGUCUGUAACUGACACUGAGGCGCGAAAGCGUGGGGAGCAAACAGGAUUAGAUACCCUGGUAGUCCACGCCGUAAACGAUGAGUACUAAGUGUUAGAGGGUUUCCGCCCUUUAGUGCUGAAGUUAACGCAUUAAGCACUCCGCCUGGGGAGUACGGCCGCAAGGCUGAAACUCAAAGGAAUUGACGGA
rnacentral:rRNA from 1 species